GUACCAGUCCAUGUUUCCGACGCGGGUGAAGGUUACCGGUUGGGACACGCUUUCUUGUGCCGCAUCAUCGGCGCUGGCAGCAUCUUCGGUCGUCGUUCCUACAGUGGCGACCGGCUCGACAUGUAACAGCAACUACACGCCGAUUUCAACAAAAGAAAAGAAAAACACGGCAUCGCCUGCUGGAAUGCGCCGUCAGCUGUCUUCACAAUUCCGUCGAUGAUGCCACGGAGCUUCGACCAAUCACAGGCGGCGGCGAGACUCGCAAUGCCGGCCGAGGCGCCUGUUGCUCGUUUUCGGCAAAAUAGUUGUUUUUCCUAAAGGUGCAUUGCAGGUUUCGCUGCAAUGCAUCUUUUCAUAAAACUUCCCGUCGAGCCUCACAAACUUCGCCAACAUCAACCAAACUUCACAGGUUCGAACACUGAAUAAUCAAGAUUGGGUCACUUCAAUGAUUUAAGCAGUCAUCAAGAACUUUAUUGACAAGUCCUGAGGAGUUUAAGCCGCCGGGGAAUCCACGAGGGACACCCUAGCAGCCGCUACCGUAGGCGACGCCCGAGUCGGGGCGGGAACGUGGUGGCGUUCCGCCAGUUCUUGGGCCCUCCAGACUGCCUUGAGUUGGGGGUGGAGCUCGGAGCUACUGAGUGCCUCUUCCCAGUCGAACUAACUGGUGACUGGUCCCCGAGGAUCCGGAGAGUAGCAGAAUUCGCGACGUGUCCUGCGCUGCCCAGGGGUUCAGCUGUUUCGACAAUGCUUCGCAGCGGCUCGGUUACCCAUACCAGCGUACUUGGUGUCUUCUCCAUCUGGUACUCUGGGGUUCUGUCGAUCAAGUGUUCUGCACGACCGAGCGUGCUUGUCAGCGAGUUGCGUUCUCACCGCAAUCGAGAUGUUCAACCAUUGCAGUACCGGUGGACCAAGAGCAGCUGAGUUCAAGGACUAUCAAAUGCUGGGUGAAGAGGAGAAGGCUGGAGGUCGGCGAAAGUGAAGGUGAUUCCGUGAGCG